GAUCUAAGCCCGUGUCUACCCCUAUAAUAAUAAAUAAGGGGUCCAAUUUUUUUAUAAAUCUAUUUUUUAUAUAUAAAAAAAUUAUAAAUAUAAAAAAAUUAUAAAUAUAAUAAAUAAAAUUGUAAAGGGCACAAAAUUAUUUGAUAUGUAUAUAGUUUUAUUUUUAUUAGAAAAUUAACAAAAUAUUACUGAUAAAAUUUUAAAAAUAUUUUAAACAUUAUCUACAUAUAAAAUUUAAAGAGUAAAAAAAAAAUUUUACCCUAGAACCCCUAACAGUAUCGAACCGCUAUACAAAAUAGGUUGACAUUAGGCUAAACAGUCAUUUACAAACAUGAUAAUGUCAUUGCAGAGAGUUGGAGUUACGUGUAAGUAACUCAAACGGAAUAACUUAUUUGGUUUGAGAUAUAGACAGCUAGCAUAAUUGUUAUUACGGAUACUGUUUUGAUAUGUAUUUCUUUGUGGUUGUGAAUUUGUCGUAAUUUCAAAUUGCCACGUCAUCUCUUCUAACCAUUUUGUGGCAAUAUCUCAACUCAAGUUCCCAACCCUCGUGACAAUUUUGAUUUAAAAAAAAACAGUCGAGGAAUCAAUAAUCAAUCUGUGCAUACUUAUCCAGUACCGUGUAGCUCGUGUGGACCAAAGAAACCGAGGUCGGUCGUAUGUGUGUCCUAACUCCCAAGAGCCAAAACAUACCUCAUGUAAAUACAUCAAUCCUCUCUCAUAUCACCCGUACUAUUCACCUCUUGACGAGACUACCUAAAGAUAUUAUUAUCUCACUUUACACCACCCUCUAAUCUUUUUAAUCCUUUCCAAUUUCCCUUUUCUAAUCCAAAAUCAAAAUUAAAAGGUAUACUUAGCAUUUUGAGAAUUGUGAUUGCCCAAUUAAAAAAUCUCGAUUCAACCUGACCCGAUCCACUUAAACGGACACGACUCAACACUUAAAAAAAAAAAGCAAAUCGAUGAAGCAAAGAGUGACAAAGAUCCAAGCUUCAAAUCUUCGUCAUUUUCUCUCAGAGCCUGCUCUCUCUCUCUCUCUCUCUAUUGCUUCGUCAUCAUCUCCGUUGCACGCGUCCUGUUUCCAGUGUGUUCCGGUGGAUCGACGGGAAGCUGCUCCGACGAUGAUCUCCUGGCAGUGAAGACGACGGUUUGAUCAGUGAGACGCGUGUCUCCUCUUUUGCUGUGGCUCGGACACGUGUUUCUUCCUCUCACGCUAAUGUAACGCAUGGUUUAGUUGUUUCGGUUUGACUUGGGCUUUGUUUGUAGUUUGGGGUUGUGGACCUCGUCUGGUUUUUUUAGUUUUCCUUUUUUUGGGCUUUUUGUAUUUUGUUUGGGCUGUGUUCAAUAAAAUUGAGAUGGAAAAAAAAAACACAACGAUUUUCAACUUGCAUUUAAAAACUGCAAAAAACCUAUUUUAUAUAUGUACCUUUAUAAUUUGAUGUACGAAAUAUUUAUUUUCUUAAGCAAGUGUUGAUGGUGUAAUAAAAUUACUCAUAUAUCAGUUUGUAUGUUUCAAGUUCAAAUUUCUUUUAUUACAAGAUGUUGUUUUAAAAAUCAAAAUUUCUAAAAUUAACUCCGACUUAAGAAAAAUUAUGAACUGAAUUUUUAAAUUCCAUGAAUUUUAAAAAAUAUUUAUUUUCUUUUAUUUCUAGUGUAAUUCUUCCCCAACUAUGUUCUAUAUAUGGCUCUUUGAUAACAAUUUAUAUUUCUGAUUUUACCUCUUUAUAUGAUCCUAUACAGAAACAAUAAUCAUUAUGUAAGUAGAUAAUACUCCCUCCGGAUACGAAUGUAAGAUGUUCUAUAUUUUUAUCUUGUAUACAAAUGUAUGAUGUUUUGAGAUAUAAUUAAUGCAUUUAUUUUUAAAA